UUCGUCAACUUCAAUAAGCAAUGAAAAUACUUUGAGACUGCCAGCCUCUUUUGAAAUUCCAAGAUUUCCCAAAAAUCUGCAACUAAAACUGGACAACAAAGAACCGUGCCAUAAAAAUCCAAGGGACAGACACACAAUAAUCAGAGUUCUAUAUGAAGCUGUGGCACAGUAUACUAUGUAAGUUAAUCAGGGUAUCCCACAAAUUCUGAAUAUGUGCAAGCUGUGAAGACGCUGGUAAUGAAGUAUCCUUUCCUCAAGGAUCGUGAGGGAAAUGGUUAUGGACCAUGCGUCCAAGGAGAGGAUUUAUUAUCCAUAGACGCCCAC